rnacentral:lncRNA from 1 species
GGUAUAUUUGGGGAUAUUUUCCUGGGUCCCGGGACAGGGUAUAUCUCAGGUUCUAUAGUGAGCAACAUGCUAACACAUGCUUAGUGUGUGUCUUAAAAAUGGCAGCUCUAGAAGCAUCCUAGUGGGUCAUGGGCGCGUCAUAGCAGCUGGCCGAGGGAAAGUGUUUCUCCCCAGCCCAGGGGCCCCUUGUGUUCCUACUGGCGAUGGACGGUGCUGCGCUGACAAUAGUAGUUUUCUUCCUAAGACACAAUUCUUCUCCAAAGGGGAAUUCUAAGGGAGGAGGAAAAGCACCAUUCCCUCCUUCCAAUGGUAUCCUUCCAGAAACUUCUUGGUUUUUCUCUUUUAUAUGGUGCAUUAGUGCCAUGUCAGUAUUCUCCAGGGCCUGGAGAAGUAGUUUGGUAGGCAGCAAUUAGUUGGGUAACUGUAUCUGGUUGCUUUUUUGGAGGCCACUGAAGGGUAACAUUGCUUCUAGGAGGACACUUGGAAUACACCUAUGGCUCCCUGGUAACCACAAAGUCAAGACCAGAAUGAGGCUGCGCAUCUUGAACCUUAGCUCUGUGUCCCAGACUCAGCAGAUUCCUGUUAACGGCUUCAUUCAGAAUCAAACAAGGUGUGCCCUGAGCUGGUCAGGCAGGAAGAAAGGGCAGAGUCCUACAAUAGACUGUUGAUACUUAUCCAUUACAUGGCAACUGCGCUGGGGUGAGGACUGGCUGCUUCCUCCAUUCUGUGUCCAGUUCCCUUCUGGGAGCUGAUCUACCUGGGAGGCUCUCAGGAUAGGCUCGUGGAAUUGAAAAACUAUCCCCAGUACUAUGCCUCAGAAUUUCCAAACCUGCCUUCAAAUUCAAAUGGAGAUGCGCUAAGCCAAAGUUGAUACCCCCACCCCCCCAAAAUGCUAAGAAGUUUAUGAAUGUGUAACUGUUUUAUUUAAAUCACCACUUAGUUGCCUCUUUCCUUAGGGUGUCAACACCCAUAUGUAUAUUUAAGUAAUUGGGUAUCUUGUCAAUGAUCAAGGCCUUGGAGAUUGUGUUAGGGUAGGCCAAACUGCUAUAACAAAUAGACCCAAAAUAUAAUGGCUCAAACAUUCUAGAGGUUUAUUUCUUUCUCACAUAACAGUCCAAGGCAGGUGUUCCACAUUAUAGGCAUUGGCAGGGGGGAGUUCUGCUGUAUAGUUUCCCCGUGGGACCCAGGUAUAUAGUGGCUCUGCCAUUCUUGAUAAGUGGCUUCCGAAGUUGCCAUCACUGUCAGCAUCAUUCCAGGUAUGUGAUGUGGGAAAACAUGGAUGAUGACACCUGGGAAGUUUCACGGGCUGCACACGAGGGACACACACCCCUUCUGCUCACUUUGGAGAGAACAGAGCCACCUGGCCCUACCGUACAUCAUGACUGGGAAAUGGGGUAUAAGAGCUGGGCAGCCAUAUAGGUAGUAACCUUGGAAAUGGGGUGAAUUUGGGUGGAAGUAGAGACACAUACAGAUUUUGGAUUUGGAAGAGAUCUUAGGUGGCUCCCUGUCCAAAGGCCAGCCCAGUACUGGGAGUGCUCUGUUCCUUCAUCUUGCCUAAUCUGAUCUUGGGCUCUGUAGACCACAAGCAUCAGACCAUGGUAAGAAAACAGAAGGGUUCUCUUCUUUCAAACACAUUCUUUGUCACUUCGCAAACAUAAUGACAUGGAUGAGGGAGAAAAUAAAUCCACAGAAGCCACUUGUAUGGCAGAGCCCAUUUUUUGUGGUCCCAGGAGACUGAGACCACAGGCUUUAGUUAUCUCAGGACUCCAUGAUGAUGUCACAGGAUCACUGGAAACUGUAGUGACUUGUAUUGUAAUUGCUGCUUCUGGAUGGCUGUGAUUGCCACUUUUAGAAGGAUAACUUUUUGUGUGUGUGUGUCAUUUUGGUGGAAAGGCCACAUCAACCCUAGAUGACUUUAGAAAGCUUUUUGCAUCCUGAUUUCCUACUUCAUGAAUAGCCCUUUUUUUUUUUUUUUUUUUUUUUUUUAGCAUGGCUGCCCUCACUUCCUCAUGUUCGUUCUCUCCACACCCUCUACUCCUGUCAUCCCAUUAACUUUCUUAUACAAAUCCUCCAGUUCUGGCCUUGGUAUGUCUUUGAUCGUUCUUGAACUUGCACUUUCCUACCGCUGUCCUUGAGCUCACGUUGCAGCUCCCUGUGCAGAACAUCCUGGUCGUCCUGCUCAACUUUCACACCCUAGACUCCUAUCUUGGCUGCUUGUGGGCAGUUAUACGUUGCUUGGACUGUUUUUCAAUGUCAAUCGUGUCUUCCAAGUGAUACCGUAAGAUCCUUGAUUGUUUGGAGUUUGUCUUUUGUGGCUUCCUUGGGCUUGAGCAUGGUGUAGUGAGCAUUCUGUAAACCCUUAUCGUUGAUGGUGGUCUGCAAGCACUUGGGAGAGUCUGUGGUGACUUGAGUUGGAGACUUAAAUGAGCUCAGUUCUUGGAUGGCAGAGAUUGAUAAAAUCCUUCUAUGGGGCUGGCUCCUGGUGGCCAGGAGCCAAAAAGGAGGGUCAGCAAGAGAGAGGACAAAAAGGAAGGGCCCCCAUUUCACUAGGCGGACUCAGCUCUGGCAGGGUCAGACCCUAGUGUGCAGCACCCUGGGGCUCAGGGCUCUGCUAGCAGUCUGAGGGAUAUUACUGAAAACACUCAGCUCAAUGGAUAAGACAACAGCUUCCCAGAAAUGGGGAGAUGAGACAAAAGCAAGGGUGAUGAGAAUGGGCUGGAGCCAGAAAAUCUGGGCUUGUGGAGAGGGGGCUUCACCCACCUUUCCUGCUUCAUUGCUCCAGGGACUUUUCAGAUAGUACUUCUUGCCCAGAGAGAGCAAAAGGUGGGUAAUCAUUUAUUUUUUGUGUCUGUAAACUGGAAGGGUGUCAGAUGAGUUCAGUCUUGCACUCUUCAAGCUGGAAUAUAAUAGAGUCCCAGGUGGCCCCAAAUUCCAGUCAUUUAGGAAGUGGGAACAAGCUCAGCUCUAUUUGAGACCCGGGAUCUGGAAGCCAAGGAUUCCCUGAGCAAUUGCCUCGUGGGGUGAAUAGUGUUUCUUCAGCCAGGAAGACAAAAUUCUAUGUGUAAACUGGCCUGUGGCCUGGAUGAGAGCCCUACCUCCCUGGGAAAUGGGAAAUUCCCUCUCCUCCCAGGGUCCUUCCCACAGGCCCUGGCCCUCCAUGUCUCCCCCCGAUCCCCACCUCGGGGUGGGGGGCAUGAGAGCUUGCGUCCUCAACCUAAAAAGUGACAGAAAGUAUGCUGGGGUGAGUGUUGGAGAAACACUAGAUUUUGGAGUGACAUCCAUUAGACAGACUCUCUGCUGCGACAACUCAUCAUGUGCCUUUUCUAUGGUCUAGAUUCCAGUAGUGGAAUUUCUAAUGUCUUGUCACCCUUCCCUGGCAGCUCUGCCAGGGCCCCAGAUGUUCCCUCUGAUGCAACAGGGAAGGAGGGGAGGCCCAUCACCCAUCCCCGCUAAUUCUGGUCAUUUCUAGCACCUAGGAUGAGGCUGCUAGGAUGCGUGGCUACCCAAGGGAUAACACCCGUCGCUUAGGGCAGUGCUUCUUAAAACUGCCAGCUGCCACCCAAUGGUGAGUUGUGAAAUCAUUUAGUAGGUCUUGGGCAGUGAUGAAGUAACAGUAGAAACAUCGGAGUGCACUGCACGUGGCAGGGUAAGUUCUGUUUUGUGAAACAAUGUUUCAUCUUAAAGCGCAUCAGCACUGUGAUGGGUUCCCAUGUAAGAUGUCUUUCUUACUGUAGUCCUGGUUAAAAAAAAUGUCUGAAUGACGCUCUCAGAGGGUCUUCAUUGGUCCUGCUUAAUCCUGGAGUUGUGCACAGUGAGAGUGAAGGCCAGAACUCGGAGGGGGAAAGGUUCCAAAGAAGGGGGUGAGCCUUUUCAUCUGCUUCCUGGGCUGGAUGUGGAACACCUGCACCACCGCUAGAGGGUCUAAGGCCCUUUCUGGGCCUGGGGGACUACCAUGAGCCUUGGGCCUCCAUCACUUCUUAGAGCAGAGCCUUGUCAAGAGUGCCUGGGCGGGAGGGGCUACCCUUUGGGGAUUUAAUGGGGAUUCGGCAGUUAGCUGUGAAAGUAUGAAUGACAUGCCCGGGGCUUUCCUUCAUGUCCGGAAUCCCUGUGAAUUUCUGAGAUGCACAGACUGGAAGAAGAGAGACCGGCUGAGGCUUGGAAGGAAGGAGAGAGACAGGGUUGGGCUGCCCCCCUCUCACUGCCUUGCUCCCUCCUCUCCCUCCCCCUUGAAGCAACGUCCUUCGCCUCCUAUGGAGAGUGGGAGAUUGGAAAAGACGGUCUUUGGGGGUAUAUGGGAUGUUUUUCUUGGCAGGUCAGACCCACAGUGGCACGGGAAGACCUCAUGAAUGAGCAGCAUUGAACAGCUGGAACAGCACUGGGGGAGGGAGGAGCCUUCUAGAACUGGAGCUCAUGGUUUAAGAGUGAUAGGGGUGAUAAGCUACUGGAGUAAAAAGCAACAACAACAAAAAUGAACAAAGCAAAGAAGAGAUGACAGUUCUGUUGUGGCUCAGUGGCUAAUGAAUCUGACUAGGAACCAUGAGGUUGCGGGUUCGAUCCCUGGCCUUGCUCAGUGGGUUAAGGAUCUGCCGUUGCCGUUAGCUGUGGUGUAGGUUACGGACGCAGCUCGGAUCCCGCGUUGCUGUGGCUCUGGCGUAGGAGGGCGGCUAAAGCUCUGAUUAGACCCCUAGCGUGGGAACCUGCAUAUGCCACAAGAGCGGCC